AAACUUGUACAAUAAAAAAUUAGUAUCCUUUUCUCUCUCCUCUUCGCGUAUAUAAACAUAAACAUUGGAGUCUCCUUCAAUUCACAAUCUCGACCCAUUUUUAUUCGUCUCCAACAUUACAUAUAUAAGAACCACAAAACUUUAAGAGAGAGAAUUCGAGCAGCAGAAAAGAUGCAGGCGGAUUUGGACCUGAUCAGCUCAUCUUCGAGCUUACAUUCGCAUGACGAUAAUCAAUUUGCGGAGGAUUUUGACUUCAAGCUUAAUAUAUUCUCCUCGGAUGUUACUCAGUUGAAAUAUGAUGAGGAAAGUACUGAAGAUUAUGGCCAACAACAACAAGGAGAAGAUGAGCUUGAACAUGAUGAAGAGGAAGAUUAUGAGGAUGAUGAGGAUUUUAGUUUCGUAAUUAACGGAUCCGACUCGUCGCCGAUUUCCGCCGAUAGCGUUUU
rnacentral:lncRNA from 1 species